GCUUCGUGGCGGGGCUACCCUACUUCGGUAGGGUUUAGAGCCGUCGACCCUCUCGGAGAAGGUCGGUCCUGAACUCCACCCUUGAAUAAACUACCUUUGUUGCUUUGGCGGGCCGCCUCGCGCCAGCGGCUUCGGCUGUUGAGUGCCCGCCAGAGGACCACAACUCUUGUUUUUAGUGAUGUCUGAGUACUAUAUAAUAGUUAAAACUUUCAACAACGGAUCUCUUGGUUCUGGCAUCGAUGAAGAACGCAGCGAAAUGCGAUAAGUAAUGUGAAUUGCAGAAUUCAGUGAAUCAUCGAAUCUUUGAACGCACAUUGCGCCCUCUGGUAUUCCGGAGGGCAUGCCUGUUCGAGCGUCAUUAUAACCACUCAAGCUCUCGCUUGGUAUUGGGGUUCGCGGUUUCGCGGCUCCUAAAAUCAGUGGCGGUGCCUGUCGGCUCUACGCGUAGUAAUACUCCUCGCGUCUGGGUCCGGUAGGUCUACUUGCCAGCAACCCCC
rnacentral:rRNA from 1 species